rnacentral:rRNA from 1 species
GACGAACCGUGCGAACGUUGUUCGGAAUCACUGGGCUUAAAGGGCGCGUAGGCGGACCGGCGAGUCAGGGGUGAAAGCCCGCGGCCCAACCGCGGAAGUGCCCCUGAUACCGCCGGCCUUGAGGGGGAUAGGGGCGUGCGGAACUUCGGGUGGAGCGGUGAAAUGCGUAGAUAUCCGAAGGAACACCGGUGGCGAAGGCGGCUCACUGGACCGGAACUGACGCUGAGGCGCGAAAGCGUGGGGAGCAAACAGG